AUUGAACGCUGGCGGCAGGCCUAACACAUGCAAGUCGAGCGAGCGGCGGACGGGUGAGUAAUGUAUGGGGACUGCCCGAUAGAGAGGGAUAACUACUGGAAACGGUAGCUAAUACCGCAUACUAUCGGAUACCCCAUAUGGGAAUAGCUAGUAGGUGAGGUAAUGGCUCACCUAGGCGACGAUCCAUAGCUGGUCUGAGAGGAUGAUCGGCCACACUGGGACUGAGACACGGCCCAGACUCCUACGGAGGCAGCAGUAGGGAAUAUUGGACAAUGGACGCAAGUCUGAUCGAGCCAUGCCGCGUGAAUGAAGAAGGUUUUCGGAUUGUAAAGCACUUUUGUUAGGGAAGCGUUAUCGACAGAGAAAGCACCGGCUAACUCCGUGCCAGCAGCCGCGGUAAUAC
rnacentral:rRNA from 1 species